UCCCGUGGGCCUAAAAUCUGCUCCAUCUGUAUUAAAUUUACAACUUUAGCUUCGAGGCCCAAAUGAAUGAAUAAAUAAAUAAAUAAAAGACGACAAUGAAUGUAAAUAAAUAAAUAAAUAAAAAGAUACUUUCUAGUCUCUUUGUCUCUUCAAAGAUGUGACUUUAACCCAUUCUUCUUCUUUCGACUCCUUGUAUAUUCAUAUGUCAUGAGAUUGACGUUUGACCUUUCUUUUGAGGCUGACUCGUGGAGAUGGGCCUUAUUGACCCAUUAUGAAUGCAAAGAAAGGGAAAGUCCCCUUGGAUCCCGAACAUAUUUUCCAUGCCAAAUAAAAAAGAAGAAUUAGCACUUCAUUCAUAAUAAGAGUGAUUAAUUUCAUAAAAUAAAUAAGAAAUACAACCGAUUCAGACUAAAUAUAAUCUUGAACAAGUUCAUGGAUUUACUUUUCGUAUUUUUUCAAGUAAUCAAAACAAGAUCGAUCUUUGUACUAAUCUAUAAUACUAACUCGGAGUAUUUCAUAGCAUAAAGAGGCAUUUCCAGGCAAUUGAAAAGAAAUAUAGGGAGGUAAUAAGAGAUUAGGCUAGAUAUGAAAGUUAAUGAAAUAAUUCGUUAUUUAAGCCAUCAGAACACAAUUCGAAAACCAAUUCAUUUUUUUAUAGGAAAUUGGGCACAAAUCUUGACAGUUUACUUGAAAUACAAUAUUUAAUAUCAAAAUAGCAAGAAGGCACCUCACAUAUUCAUCAAAAUUUUACUAUCAAGACAGGGAAACUAUAGCCCUUCACCAUUUAGUAAUAAGUUGAAUAUAAAUUGAAGCAAAGACAUCGAUAAAAAUAAUAACAAGAAUACUAACACUUUGCUGUAAAACAAAAAAAAAAGAAGGAAGAACAUACAUUUUUUUUCAAUGUAACAAAAGCUACCUAGAAAAUUAUCGAACAAAUCAUGGUUGCUCCAUCUCCGCCAUAAAAAUAUGAAUACAAUUAAUUUCAAGAACAUAGAGACGGACAAGAAUUGAACUUCGAAAGUUGCUUCUUAUAACUCAUUCACCUUAAGUUUCACAGUAACUCAACAAGAAUAUUUUUUCAAGGUAUUCUUCAAAAAAGAGCAAAAAAGAAACAACAACAUGACCCUUCUCUAGAUUUCCACAGGGAUAGUUUCAGAACAACCCCGUAAUAUGAUAAAAUUGAAGGACAAUCCAUACGACCACCAACACUAAAUUUCAUGAAGAAAACAUAAUGGUAUGGAUAAACUUUACAUAAUGACCUUUCAAAGAAGAAGAAAGAAAUUCAGAAUACUUAUUUUAUUUAUAUCGAACUCUCAUAUCAUUAUUCACAAGGUAGGAUGAAUUGGAAAAACAUGACAGUAUCAUCCAUAAAUAGAAUGAACAUCUAUCAUUCAAUAUCCAUAGACUACUCAAUGUAAAGAGAAAAAAAAAAGAAUGGAACCGACUUCAAAAAUAAAAAUUUAAGACCAACAUCAAUGUCGAAAUCUAUUUUCUAUGAAAUCUAACACCAUAAACAACAACGAGCAGGAACAUUAUCACAUCUAAUCUCAUCAAAAGAAAAUAGAACCUAUGGAAUUUAAUGCCUCUACAGCAAACAAUCUCUGCAUACAACACAAUAAUCUAAAUCAGACUACGACUACGACUACCACUAUUACAUUGUGAUAGUAUAAAUAAAAGAUAUUGAAAACUAACCGGAUGUUGGGAUACAAAAUGAGACCACGAGCUACCGACCACCAUCGAAAAGUUUCGCCGCGACUUUGAAAACCCAUCAACUUUUUGCAAUAAAACUAUUUACUAGAAAAAUAGACUUUUUGCUUGAAAGUUUUUUCAAC
rnacentral:lncRNA from 1 species